rnacentral:misc_RNA from 1 species
UCUCCGUUGUGAACCAGCGGAGGGAUCAUUAUCGAGUUUAUAACUCCCAAACCCUAUGUGAACUUACCACUUGUUGCUUCGGCGCGCGCUUCGGCGCCGCCGAGGACACUUAAACUCUUUGUUUUUAUAAGCAUUUCUGAGUGGCCGAAAGGCAAAAUACAAAUGAAUCAAAACUUUCAACAACGGAUCUCUUGGUUCUG